GGAAACUCUAUCGUCGAAAAC
rnacentral:miRNA from 1 species